UACAGAGGUCCCAAGCGUUGUUCGGAUUCACUGGGCGUAAAGGGUGCGUAGGUGGCCAGGUAAGUUUGGUGUGAAAGCUCGGAGCUUAACUCCGAAAAGUCAUUGAAUACUAUCUGGCUGGAGGGUCGGAGGGGAGACUGGAAUUCUCGGUGUAGCAGUGAAAUGCGUAGAUAUCGAGAGGAACACCAGUGGCGAAGGCGGUUGCCUGGGGCUUUGCUGACGCUGAGGCACGAAAGCGUGGGGAUCAAACAGG
rnacentral:rRNA from 1 species